rnacentral:rRNA from 1 species
GGAGUUAGCCGGUGCUUCUUCUGUGAGUGAUGUCCUUCCUGCCGGCUAUUAACCCGCAGGCCUUCUUCCUCACUGAAAGUGCUUUACAACCCGAAGGCCUUCUUCACACACGCGGCAUGGCUGGAUCAGGGUUGCCCCCAUUGUCCAAUAUUCCCCACUGCUGCCUCCCGUAGGAGUCUGGGCCGUGUCUCAGUCCCAGUGUGGCUGAUCAUCCUCUCAGACCAGCUACGGAUCGUCGCCUUGGUGAGCCGUUACCUCACCAACCAGCUAAUCCGACAUAGGCUCAUCCGAUAGCGCGAGGCCCGAAGGUCCCCCGCUUUCCCCCGUAGGGCGUAUGCGGUAUUAGCCUGGGUUUCCCCAGGUUAUCCCCCACUACCGGGCAGAUUCCUAUGCAUUACUCACCCGUCCGCCGCUCGCCACCAGGGAGCAAGCUCCCCGUGCUGCCGCUCGACUUGCAUGUGUUAGGCCUGCCGCCAGCGUUCAAUCUGAGCCAGGAUCAGACUCUGA